rnacentral:rRNA from 1 species
GUCGCGUCUGCUGUGAAANGCUGGGGCUUAACCCUGGUUUUGCAGUGGGUACGGGCUAANUAGAGUGCAGUAGGGGAGACUGGAAUUCCUGGUGUAGCGGUGGAAUGCGCAGAUAUCAGGAGGAACACCGAUNGCGAAGACAGGUCUCUGGGCUGUAACUGGCGCUGAGAAGCGAAAGCAUGGGGAGCGAACAGGAUUAGAUACCCUGGUAGUCCAUGCCGUAAACGUUGGGCACUAGGUGUGGGGGACAUUCCACGUUUUCCGCGCCGUAGCUAACGCAUUAAGUGCCCCGCCUGGGGAGUACGGCCGCAAGGCUAAAACUCAAAGAAAUUGACGGGGGCCCGCACAAGCGGCGGAGCAUGCGGAUUAAUUCGAUGCAACGCGAAGAACCUUACCAAGGCUUGACAUAUACUGGACUGCGUCAGAGAUGGCGUUUCCCUUCGGGGCUGGUAUACAGGUGGUGCAUGGUUGUCGUCAGCUCGUGUCGUGAGAUGUUGGGUUAANNNNNNNNANNNANCGCAACCCUCGUUCUACGUUGCCAGCACGUGAUGGUGGGGACUCAUAGGAGACUGCCGGGGUUAACUCGGAGGAAGGUGGGGACGACGUCAAAUCAUCAUGCCCCUUAUGUCUUGGGCUUCACGCAUGCUACAAUGGCCGGUACAGAGGGUUGCGAUACUGUGAGGUGGAGCUAAUCCCUAAAAGCCGGUCUCAGUUCGGAUUGGGGUCUGCAACUCGACCCCAUGAAGUCGGAGUCGCUAGUAAUCGCAGAUCAGCAACGCUGCGGUGAAUACGUUCCCGGGC